AGAUUGAACGCUGGCGGCAGGCCUAACACAUGCAAGUCGAGCGGAUGAGAGGAGCUUGCUCCUUGAUUCAGCGGCGGACGGGUGAGUAAUGCCUAGGAAUCUGCCUAUUAGUGGGGGACAACGUUUCGAAAGGAACGCUAAUACCGCAUACGUCCUACGGGAGAAAGCAGGGGACCUUCGGGCCUUGCGCUAAUAGAUGAGCCUAGGUCGGAUUAGCUAGUUGGUGAGGUAAUGGCUCACCAAGGCUACGAUCCGUAACUGGUCUGAGAGGAUGAUCAGUCACACUGGAACUGAGACACGGUCCAGACUCCUACGGGAGGCAGCAGUGGGAAUAUUGGACAAUGGGCGAAAGCCUGAUCCAGCCAUGCCGCGUGUGUGAAGAAGGUCUUCGGACUGUAAAGCACUUUAAGUGGAAGGAAGGCAGUAAGCGAAUACCUUGCUGUUUUGACGUUACCGAACAGAAUAAGCACCGCUAACUCUGUG
rnacentral:rRNA from 1 species